CCUACGGGAGGCAGCAGUGGGGAAUAUUGCACAAUGGGCGCAAGCCUGAUGCAGCCAUGCCGCGUGUGUGAAGAAGGCCUUCGGGUUGUAAAGCACUUUCAGCGGGGAGGAAGGCGGUGAGGUUAAUAACCUCAUCGAUUGACGUUACCCGCAGAAGAAGCACCGGCUAACUCCGUGCCAGCAGCCGCGGUAAUACGGAGGGUGCAAGCGUUAAUCGGAAUUACCGGGCGUAAAGCGCACGCAGGCGGUCUGUCAAGUCGGAUGUGAAAUCCCCGGGCUCAACCUGGGAACUGCAUUCGAAACUGGCAGGCUAGAGUCUUGUAGAGGGGGGUAGAAUUCCAGGUGUAGCGGUGAAAUGCGUAGAGAUCUGGAGGAAUACCGGUGGCGAAGGCGGCCCCCUGGACAAAGACUGACGCUCAGGUGCGAAAGCGUGGGGAGCAAACAGGAUUAGAUACCCGGGUAGUC
rnacentral:rRNA from 1 species